AGCGCAUACGGUGGAUGCCUUGGCAGUCAGAGGCGAUGAAAGACGUGGUAGCCUGCGAAAAGCUUCGGGGAGUCGGCAAACAGACUUUGAUCCGGAGAUCUCUGAAUGGGGGAACCCACCUAGGAUAACCUAGGUAUCUUGUACUGAAUCCAUAGGUGCAAGAGGCGAACCAGGGGAACUGAAACAUCUAAGUACCCUGAGGAAAAGAAAUCAACCGAGAUUCCCUUAGUAGUGGCGAGCGAACGGGGAUUAGCCCUUAAGCUUCAUUGAUUUUAGCGGAACGCUCUGGAAAGUGCGGCCAUAGUGGGUGAUAGCCCCGUACGCGAAAGGAUCUUUGAAGUGAAAUCGAGUAGGACGGAGCACGAGAAACUUUGUCUGAACAUGGGGGGACCAUCCUCCAAGGCUAAAUACUACUGACUGACCGAUAGUGAACCAGUACCGUGAGGGAAAGGCGAAAAGAACCCCGGAGAGGGGAGUGAAAUAGAACCUGAAACCGUAUGCGUACAAGCAGUGGGAGCCUACUUGUUAGGUGACUGCGUACCUUUUGUAUAAUGGGUCAGCGACUUAUAUUCAGUGGCAAGCUUAACCGUAUAGGGUAGGCGUAGCGAAAGCGAGUCUUAAUAGGGCGUUUAGUCGCUGGGUAUAGACCCGAAACCGGGCGAUCUAUCCAUGAGCAGGUUGAAGGUUAGGUAACACUGACUGGAGGACCGAACCCACUCCCGUUGAAAAGGUAGGGGAUGACUUGUGGAUCGGAGUGAAAGGCUAAUCAAGCUCGGAGAUAGCUGGUUCUCCUCGAAAGCUAUUUAGGUAGCGCCUCAUGUAUCACUCUGGGGGGUAGAGCACUGUUUCGGCUAGGGGGUCAUCCCGACUUACCAAACCGAUGCAAACUCCGAAUACCCAGAAGUGCCGAGCAUGGGAGACACACGGCGGGUGCUAACGUCCGUCGUGAAAAGGGAAACAACCCAGGCCGCCAGCUAAGGUCCCAAAGUUGUGGUUAAGUGGUAAACGAUGUGGGAAGGCUUAGACAGCUAGGAGGUUGGCUUAGAAGCAGCCAUCCUUUAAAGAAAGCGUAAUAGCUCACUAGUCGAGUCGGCCUGCGCGGAAGAUGUAACGGGGCUCAAACCACACACCGAAGCUGCGGGUGUCACGUAAGUGACGCGGUAGAGGAGCGUUCUGUAAGCCUGUGAAGGUGAGUUGAGAAGCUUGCUGGAGGUAUCAGAAGUGCGAAUGCUGACAUGAGUAACGACAAUGGGUGUGAAAAACACCCACGCCGAAAGACCAAGGGUUCCUGCGCAACGUUAAUCGACGCAGGGUUAGUCGGUUCCUAAGGCGAGGCUGAAAAGCGUAGUCGAUGGGAAACAGGUUAAUAUUCCUGUACUUCUGGUUACUGCGAUGGAGGGACGGAGAAGGCUAGGCCAGCUUGGCGUUGGUUGUCCAAGUUUAAGGUGGUAGGCUGAAAUCUUAGGUAAAUCCGGGGUUUCAAGGCCGAGAGCUGAUGACGAGUCGUCUUUUAGAUGACGAAGUGGUUGAUGCCAUGCUUCCAAGAAAAGCUUCUAAGCUUCAGGUAACCAGGAACCGUACCCCAAACCGACACAGGUGGUCGGGUAGAGAAUACCAAGGCGCUUGAGAGAACUCGGGUGAAGGAACUAGGCAAAAUGGCACCGUAACUUCGGGAGAAGGUGCGCCGGCUAGGGUGAAGGAUUUACUCCGUAAGCUCUGGCUGGUCGAAGAUACCAGGCCGCUGCGACUGUUUAUUAAAAACACAGCACUCUGCAAACACGAAAGUGGACGUAUAGGGUGUGACGCCUGCCCGGUGCCGGAAGGUUAAUUGAUGGGGUUAGCGCAAGCGAAGCUCUUGAUCGAAGCCCCGGUAAACGGCGGCCGUAACUAUAACGGUCCUAAGGUAGCGAAAUUCCUUGUCGGGUAAGUUCCGACCUGCACGAAUGGCGUAACGAUGGCGGCGCUGUCUCCACCCGAGACUCAGUGAAAUUGAAAUCGCUGUGAAGAUGCAGUGUAUCCGCGGCUAGACGGAAAGACCCCGUGAACCUUUACUGUAGCUUUGCACUGGACUUUGAGCCUGCUUGUGUAGGAUAGGUGGGAGGCUUUGAAGCGUGGACGCCAGUUCGCGUGGAGCCAUCCUUGAAAUACCACCCUGGCAUGCUUGAGGUUCUAACUCUGGUCCGUGAUCCGGAUCGAGGACAGUGUAUGGUGGGCAGUUUGACUGGGGCGGUCUCCUCCUAAAGAGUAACGGAGGAGUACGAAGGUGCGCUCAGACCGGUCGGAAAUCGGUCGCAGAGUAUAAAGGCAAAAGCGCGCUUGACUGCGAGACAGACACGUCGAGCAGGUACGAAAGUAGGUCUUAGUGAUCCGGUGGUUCUGUAUGGAAGGGCCAUCGCUCAACGGAUAAAAGGUACUCCGGGGAUAACAGGCUGAUACCGCCCAAGAGUUCAUAUCGACGGCGGUGUUUGGCACCUCGAUGUCGGCUCAUCACAUCCUGGGGCUGAAGCCGGUCCCAAGGGUAUGGCUGUUCGCCAUUUAAAGUGGUACGCGAGCUGGGUUUAGAACGUCGUGAGACAGUUCGGUCCCUAUCUGCCGUGGACGUUUGAGAUUUGAGAGGGGCUGCUCCUAGUACGAGAGGACCGGAGUGGACGAACCUCUGGUGUUCCGGUUGUCACGCCAGUGGCAUUGCCGGGUAGCUAUGUUCGGAAAAGAUAACCGCUGAAAGCAUCUAAGCGGGAAACUUGCCUCAAGAUGAGAUCUCACUGGGAACUUGAUUCCCCUGAAGGGCCGUCGAAGACUACGACGUUGAUAGGCUGGGUGUGUAAGCGUUGU
rnacentral:rRNA from 1 species